rnacentral:rRNA from 1 species
AACGAACGCUGGCGGCGCGUUUUAAGCAUGCAAGUCGAACGGCAGUAUGGAGCAAUCCAUAUGAGAGUGGCGAACGGGUGAGUAACACGUAGGUGAUCUCCCUCGGGUUUUGGGGAUAGUUCGUGGAAACACGGGGUAAUACCGAAUACGCUCUCCGGGCUGGUGGCCUGGGGAGGAAAGGCGCGGGUGCGCCGAACCGAGAUGAGCUCGCGUCCCAUUAGCUAGUUGGCGGGGUAACGGCCCACCAAGGCGACGAUGGGUAGCCGACCUGAGAGGGUGAUCGGCCACACUGGGACUGAGACACGGCCCAGACUCCUACGGGAGGCAGCAGGUGGGGAAUAUUGCGCAAUGGGGGGAACCCUGACGCAGCAACGCCGCGUGAGUGAAGAAGGUCUUCGGAUCGUAAAACUCUGUCAUAGGGGAAGAAGGAGAUGACGGUACCCUAUGAGGAAGCCCCGGCUAACUACGUG